UAAGUGUAAAUAUUACUACACAGCUUAUGAUUUCAACGUCUUUAUUGGAAACAACUCUCUGGAUAACGCAUAUCUAUUAAUGCUUGCCAAAAAAACCAUAAUCUAAAAAAAAAAGCGUUGGGGUAAAAAUCAACGAAUUUUUGAAUAGUCCAUCAUAAUGUCCACAGUUUUAGCACCAAACACUCAAAUACCAUAUACAUAAUUUAUUGUCUUUGUAUUGCGAUGGAAUAACAAUAGAAUAAUAAUAUAAUUAUUAAAUAUUUAUAGUAUAUUAUAGUAAGUCGCGCAGUAUGGCGUUAUUUCUACGAAUCACAACUUUGGCUUUAUUCCAUCAUCGCACACGUACACCAAAUUGUUGUAUUUUCCAACGAAAAUUUAGAUACGUAGUCCGUGUGUAAUUUUUGUUAGAACCGAGUAAUUACCAUAAUAUUUCAAGCGAGGCGCAUCGAGUAAACAUGUUUACCACUUAUUCCGCAGAAAUUUGAAUAAAGUUUAUUUAGUAUAAUAAUAUUUAUUUCUAUUCGCUUGCUCGUUAUUUUCAGUUCUACCACUAAUAUGUGAACAUAUUUUGAAUUAUUUAAUUAACGAUUAAGAGUUAAGAUGCACAAAAUCGACUGAAUAAUCGCUAAUAAUAAGAAAAAAAAAUAGAAACAUAAUAAAUGUGACGAGCGUGAUAAACUCAGCGACAUUCGGCUUUGAAGAAAAAAAACAGAAACGCUAUAUUAGAACGGUACUCAAUGGUAUGAGAUAAUCGUUGCAUUUUAUCGUGGCGAAACACCUAUUUACAUGACUAUUAUAUACGUGUUGGUAUCCAAAAUAAAAACAAAAACGCCGUACUCAACUAUAUAUUUAUUAUAUUUACACGAUAAAAUUACCGUUGCGUACUAUUUACAUUUAAUGCAGCAGGACGCGCAGGGCAUUUCAAAUUAUUUGUGCUCUUCGAUGUCGUUGUACUUUUUUGUAUUGUUUCCAUACAAAAAAGUUGAGCAUUCAUUACAAACGUGACCAGAAUAAAUUGUGAAAUAUAAUAUUAUGUUAUCACCAUGUCGAAUACUGCAUACUUACAUGGAACGUACUGGAAAGUUCAAAAUUUAACCAUUUGUACAACUUCAAAUGGUGAUGACCACAAAAAAAAAUCUUAUAAUUUAUUCAUUUAUUUGAAUUCUUUAAUAUUCUUUUUCAAUCAUGAAUCAUCUAAGAUAGUAAUGUUGUGUAGAGCAUAAACUGCAAUAAUAUAGCGAGUAUAAUUUACAAUUAAAUAUUCAUCACAGUUAAAAUAUAUAUUAUAGAACAUAUUACAAUAUACCUUAACGUCAAAAACACGAAAAGCAUUUAGUGGGGAAAUAUCCAAAGAAAAAUUACUUAAACAAUUUAUUGACAAAGUCAAUACCGUUUGUUUUACGACCAGCAUGGGUAACAAAAAAUCGUUUUAAAAAUUAUAAUCAAAUUUUACUAAAACAAUUAAUUCGCAGUGUUGAGGAUAUAAUAAUUAUUAUAAAAUACAAUUGAAGUUCCCAUGAUCUCGCGUUUUUGCCUUGCACUCGCGGUCUUCAUCGCUAUGAAUUAUAUUAUUUUCUUCUCAUCGAUUACCUACCUAUAUACUGCAUUCCUAUAAUAUGUCUAUAAAAAUAUCAUUAAUCAAAUUAUCGUUUUCUUUUCCGUCGUCGAAUUACCAUUAUUAAUUUAAAAAAACUCGCAGUGGGAAUUAAACGCGUCUAUGUGCAAAUGCUAUGUGUACAAAAAAUAAAUGUAAAAAUAUAAUGGCUCUUUAAAUUCAACGCGCGGGAGAUCUGUCUCCGGGCACACCUUUACAACACGGAGGCAUUUACCGGGUGAACCGUAUUGGAGAAUAAUAAUAUAAUAUAAUAUAUCGAAUCUAUUUCGGUUGAAUUAUAACAUUGCAACGGAAGUCUACCCUUUUCCGACGUACUGUACGCCGCACCGGACACGACAACAACGCCCGUCAGAUUUUAACGCGUGCAAAUGUUUUUUUCGUGUACUUUUCCGCACACGUUGCCGCGUUGGCAUUAAAAAUCCGUCCGAGACCUUAAAUUAAAUACAUAUCGUAACGUCCGGUUUGAUUUAACGUUUGUUUAUUGUUUUUUUUUUCUGUUUGUUUGUUUGUUUCAUGUUUGUUUUUACCUUCGACCCUUCAAUUACUGCAGGCGAUUUCCAAACCCGGCGUUGAAAACAACAGCGGUUUACUUACCUCCUGUAUUUCGCUAAUAAACCGGUCGAUAGCUGAAAGUAAAAAAUAAAAUGGUAUUUUAAAACACCCGUAGCUGAGCGGGCUGGUGUUGAUAAUUAGGUAUUAUUUUUAAAUUAUUUAUUUUAUAGUGUCAUCGGUUAUUUAUAACAAUAAUAUAAUUGGGUGACUGUAGGUUGCGUCCCGCUAUAAAUUGCGUUCCGAGUAUUUCUAGUGCAUACGUAAAUAAUUGUGUCCCAGGAAUUUUAGAUAUUAAAAUGUAUGAUACCGAUUUCCAACCAAUGUUUUCCUUCCCGUUGUAUCAGACUUAAAACUGUCAACAUUACUGUUAUAAGUUAUAACGUUAGUAUGAUUAAAAAUAAUAUUAGUUUUUUUACUAACACUUUUUUUGUUUAAACUUAAUAAACAAAAAUAAUAAAAAUACAUUUUGUUCUGACGUCAUAUUAUAUUAUUUAUUUAUUAUUGUUUAAAUUGCAUACUUUUAUCGGUACUAAACUCUAGGUGUGCUGUUGAAUUUAUUUGUGUUAUAUUUGUUCUUUAUUAAUUAUUAACUUAUGACUUAAGUCUAUAUAGGUGUUACGAAUUGCUUCAUCAAUACAAAUAUUAUGUAUUAAUAAUAUAAUAUGUUAUUUGUACGGAUUUUCCGCCGGACGCAAUGACCGUAUAUUAUAAUAUGAUGGAUUGAUGGAAACAUGUGCCACAAGUUACGGGUAUAAUACGAAUCGCAACUAACGUAUGUUUUUAUCUGGACAAAACGUACACUUCCACUUACACUAAAGCUACUGAUAUAAUUAUUGUAAGACCGUUCUGCAAAUUAUUUGAAAAAUAAUAAUUCAUCAGAAUGAGUUUUCCACGGAAAGAGUGUUUAUGAUCAAUUUACGUUUGCAGAAACGUAUCUGUGGCGUGUAUCAAUGGGUUUACUUCUUUGCUAAUUUGUAUUUUAUUCGUGUAGCUAGUGUUGUGGCGUAAUUGCUACUUACCAGCUACUUGUCCCCCCUCCGCCCCUCCAGAUGUGCCAAUCUUUUACUAUCGAACUCUCAUGUAUACUUGAUAUUAUUUAUCGAUAUGGGUACCUAAGAAUCUAACCUACUCAUAAUAAAAUCUAACGAGUAAAAUCGUGAAUGAAAUAAUAUAUUCUGAUCGGCUGUUCAAUUUGCUUGUUUGAAAUGGAUUGGAGGUAUAUAAUUCGAGAAAACUUACUUGAAAUCGUAUUGAAAAUAUUUCGAAAACACAAUUAAUAUUGUUUAAAAUACAAAUAUUAGCUCGCUUCGUCGAUAGCUGUCGUAAAUGGAUCACGUUGUAAAUAUUAUAAUUUUCGAACCGUAGCAGUGCGCGGUGCAGGUACGGGUUUUGGACAGUUAAAAUUGCUUUUAAUUUAUUACGGUACGGAUAUAGUGUGAUGCCGUGCGUCCCGGGAAAACAAUCGAAAGGAGGAGCGUUGGACGAAUAAUAAACGUAUAUUUUAAGAUAGGUGCGUCGAGAGGAUUGGACCCCAGAAUGAAAACGCAAUAUCGAGUUCAGCGGAAUUUUACAAAUUAACGGAGAUAAUUAUUAUCAUUCGCCGCGAGGAGGACAUUACGCAGGGUAUUUAUGUACCUUCACAGCAUAAUAUAUAUGCGUGUAUAUAUAUAUAUUAUUAUAAUAUAUAAAUGUUUGUGUGUGUGUAUAUGUGUGCGUGUAUGUGCGUGUGAGUGCAGUGUGGGUGUGUGUUUGUGUGUGUACCUAUAAGUAUCGGAGCUCACCGUACAAGGGCACACCGCGCUGCUGCUGAAUGUUAAUUAAUUUUAUUUGUAAUUAAAUCAAAUUUAUUAUACACGCCGAU
rnacentral:lncRNA from 1 species